UGGCGGCGUGCCUAAUACAUGCAAGUCGAGCGAUGAGGCCCCUUCGGGGGUACAUCAGCGGCAAACGGGUGAGUAACACGUGGGUGACCUACCCUGAAGACGGGGACAACCCUUGGAAACGGGGGCUAAUACCCGAUGUGCUCGGUCAUUCGGUUGGUCGAGUAAAGGCUGAGGCGCUUCAGGAUGGGCCUGCGGCCCAUCAGCUAGUUGGUAGGGUAACGGCCUACCAAGGCGGAGACGGGUAGGGGGCGUGAGAGCGCGGUCCCCCACACUGGCACUGCGACACGGGCCAGACUCCUACGGGAGGCAGCAGUAAGGAAUCUUGCGCAAUGGGCGAAAGCCAGACGCAGCGACGCCGCGUGGGCGAAGAAGGCCUUCGGGUUGUAAAGCCCUUUUCCAGGGGAAGAGGAAGGACGGUACCCUGGGAAUAAGUCCCGGCUAGCUAUGUGCCAGCAGCCGCGGUAAGACAUAGGGGACGAGCGUUAUCCGGAUUUACUGGGCGUAAAGAGCGUUGAGGCGGUUCCGUAAGUUGGAUGUGAAAGCCCCGGGCUUAACUCGGGGAGGUCGUUCAAUACUGCGGGGCUAGAGGGCAGCAGAGGGAGGUGGAAUUCCCGGUGUAGUGGUGAAAUGCGUAGAUAUCGGGAGGAACACCCGUGGCGAAGGCGGCCUCCUGGGCUGACCCUGACGCUGAAUGCGAAAGCUAGGGGAGCGAACGGGAUUAGAUACCCCGGUAGUCCUAGCUGUAAACGAUGGAUGCUGGGUGUGGGGGGUAUAAAUUCCCUCUGUGCCGAAGCUAACGCGUUAAGCAUCCCGCCUGGGGACUACGGCCGCAAGGCUAAAACUCAAACGAAUUGACGGAGGCCCGCACAAGCAGCGGAGCGUGUGGUUUAAUUCGAUGCUACACGAAGAACCUUACCUGGGCUUGACAUGCACGUGGUAGGGAACCGAAAGGGGACCGACCUUCGGGAGCGUGCACAGGUGCUGCAUGGCUGUCGUCAGCUCGUGCCGUGAGGUGUCGGGUUAAGUCUCGUAACGAGCGCAACCCUUGCCCUUAGUUAUACGUGUCUAAGGGGACUGCCCGGGAUAACCGGGAGGAAGGUGGGGAUGACGUCAAGUCAGCAUGGCCUUUAUGUCCAGGGCUACACACACGCUAC
rnacentral:rRNA from 1 species